AUUGAACGCUGGCGGCAGGCCUAACACAUGCAAGUCGAGCGGAAACGAGUUAUCUGAACCUUCGGGGAACGAUAACGGCGUCGAGCGGCGGACGGGUGAGUAAUGCCUAGGAAAUUGCCUUGAUGUGGGGGAUAACCAUUGGAAACGAUGGCUAAUACCGCAUAACGCCUACGGGCCAAAGAGGGGGACCUUCGGGCCUCUCGCGUCAAGAUAUGCCUAGGUGGGAUUAGCUAGUUGGUGAGGUAAUGGCUCACCAAGGCGACGAUCCCUAGCUGGUCUGAGAGGAUGUUCUUUCACACUGGAACUGAGACACGGUCCAGACUCCUACGGGAGGCACCACUGGGGAAUAU
rnacentral:rRNA from 1 species